ACGUAGGGUGCGAGCGUUGUCCGGAAUUACUGGGCGUAAAGAGCUCGUAGGCGGUUUGUCGCGUCGUCUGUGAAAACCAGCAGCUCAACUGCUGGCUUGCAGGCGAUACGGGCAGACUUGAGUACUGCAGGGGAGACUGGAAUUCCUGGUGUAGCGGUGAAAUGCGCAGAUAUCAGGAGGAACACCGGUGGCGAAGGCGGGUCUCUGGGCAGUAACUGACGCUGAGGAGCGAAAGCGUGGGUAGCGAACAG
rnacentral:rRNA from 1 species